GACGAACGCUGGCGGCGUGCCUAAUACAUGCAAGUUGAGCGCUGAAGGUUGGUACUUGUACCAACUGGAUGAGCAGCGAACGGGUGAGUAACGCGUGGGGAAUCUGCCUUUGAGCGGGGGACAACAUUUGGAAACGAAUGCUAAUACCGCAUAAAAACUUUAAACACAAGUUUUAAGUUUGAAAGAUGCAAUUGCAUCACUCAAAGAUGAUCCCGCGUUGUAUUAGCUAGUUGGUGAGGUAAAGGCUCACCAAGGCGAUGAUACAUAGCCGACCUGAGAGGGGGAUCGGCCACAUUGGGACUGAGACACGGCCCAAACUCCUACGGGAGGCAGCAGUAGGGAAUCUUCGGCAAUGGACGAAAGUCUGACCGAGCAACGCCGCGUGAGUGAAGAAGGGUUUCGGAUCGUAAAACUCUGUUGGUAGAGAAGAACGUUGGUGAGAGUGGAAAGCCCAUCAAGUGACGGUAACUACCCAGAAAGGGACGGCUAACUACGUG
rnacentral:rRNA from 1 species